rnacentral:rRNA from 1 species
UGGGGAAUAUUGCACAAUGGGCGAAAGCCUGAUGCAGCAACGCCGCGUGAGUGAUGAAGGCCUUCGGGUUGUAAAGCUCUGUCUUUUGGGACGAUAAUGACGGUACCAAAGGAGGAAGCCACGGCUAACUACGUGCCAGCAGCCGCGGUAAUACGUAGGUGGCAAGCGUUGUCCGGAUUUACUGGGCGUAAAGGAUGCGUAGGCGGAUUUUUAAGUGAGAUGUGAAAUACCCGGGCUUAACUUGGGUGCUGCAUUUCAAACUGGGAAUCUAGAGUGCGGGAGAGGAGAAUGGAGUUCCUAGUGUAGCGGUGAAAUGCGUAGAGAUUAGGAAGAACACCAGUGGCGAAGGCGAUUCUCUGGACCGUAACUGACGCUGAGGCAUGAAAGCGUGGGUAGCAAACAGGAUUAGAUACCCUGGUAGUCCACGCCGUAAACGAUGAGUACUAGGUGUAGGAGGUAUCGACCCCUUCUGUGCCGCAGUUAACACAAUAAGUACUCCGCCUGGGAAGUACGAUCGCAAGAUUAAAACUCAAAUGAAUUGACGGGGUC